rnacentral:tRNA from 1 species
GGUUGUAGUUCAGUGGUAGAGCGCUUGCCUAGCAUGCAUGAGGCACUGGGUUCGAUCCCCGGCACCA